rnacentral:tRNA from 1 species
UGUCCAGCUAUAGCUCAGUUGGUAGAGCGUGGGACUGUAGUUGUUAGCUGUCAUCCUGAUGUCGCUGGUUCGAAUCCGGCUAGCUGGAA